GUCCACGCCCUAAACGAUGUCAACUGGUUGUUGGGAAGGUUCCUUCUCAGUAACGUAGCUAACGCGUGAAGUUGACCGCCUGGGGAGUACGGCCGCAAGGUUGAAACUCAAAGGAAUUGACGGGACCCGCACAAGCGGUGGAUGAUGUGGUUUAAUUCGACGCAACGCGAAAACCUUACCUACCCUUGACAUGUCUGGAAUUCUGCAGAGAUGUGGAAGUGCUCGAAAGAGAACCAGAACACAGGUGCUGCAUGGCCGUCGU
rnacentral:rRNA from 1 species